AUCGUUUUUCGGUCCGCUUGAGCUGCAAUCUGGUGUCAUUGUGGCAGCCAACUACUAAGAAAGAAAAUGAAGGUGGUAUUGAAGCGAUUAAUGGAGACCUUGUUCACUCUUGCAUCCUUUCUUUCCCUCCAUCCAACGCGGCACAACUCAUUUGUCACCCAUCUCAGAUGUUUUCGUUGAAGAUAAGGUAAUUGGUUCACCAUCAGAAUGUGAUGCAAAAGUUAAUGUGAUAAGUGAUCAACCUUCUGCCAUGUUGAAAUUUUCAAGCAUUCUCUUGAAGACCUACUCAUGUUGUUUCCCAUGAUUCCUUGUCUUUCGAUAGUUUAUUUUACCACAUAUAUAAGUGUAGUUGUCGUGGACGCAGUUGGUCUUGGAGCUCAAGGAAGUAAUGGGUUUAUAGCUGCUGAUAUUUAGUGUUCUUCGCUCAUUUUUUAUGUGCCUAUUAUAUCUGCAUGAGAGGACCUUCUUUUUUCUGGAAGUUGCCCGUGCAAGUCUUUCACCAUUGUUCCAAACUGGAAAUUCUGGUUGGCCAGAUAUGUUCAAAUUGCCAGCUGUUAUUGUCCUUGCAUCUUCUAAUUGGUAAAUGUACCUCACACAUCACAUUUCUUUGACAGUAAUAUGCAUUGGAUUAUGGCUUUUCUUUUUAGGCCCUGUCAGGCAAGAUGUUCCUCACACUAUAGAUGCAUAUUAUGUUAUUUUAAUCAAUGGAGUUGUUUCAAAA